rnacentral:rRNA from 1 species
AUGGUAUGUGGGAGCUUUAGAGAGUCCGGUGAAAGGUUGGGACUCAUCGAGGCAGACAACACGCUCGACGACUGUCUUACUGAGGCGGAGCAGUGGGCUAUGCCAUGUUCUCUUAGGAGGCUCUUUGCAACAAUCUUGGUGCACUGCGAGCCAGGCGACGUGCGCGGGUUAUGGGAUAGACACCUCGAGCCUAUGUCCGAUGACUACCGUCGGACACGCACGUCCCCGAACGAGGUGAAGCAGAUGGUGUUGCUUGACAUUAGGGGUAUGUUGCAGUCUAUGGGUAAAGACAUUAUCGAUUUUGCUCUUCCAACGAUCGAUGAUGCAUUUGACCCAACCGAGGGCGAGGCCAGAGAGAUCAUCGAGGAAUCAACCAUUGAGUUUGACGAAAGUGACACUAAAUUGUCAUCUUCCCUGAAUUUUGAGCAAAGGGCUGCAUACGACGAGAUACUAGCGGCUGUUGAACGCGGUGAUGGGGGUAUAUUCUUUGUUGAUGGCCCUGGAGGUACGGGGAAGACCUUCCUUUACAGGGCGAUGCUCGCCAAGGCGAGGCGCGAGGGCAAGAUUGCUAUCGCUACCGCGACGUCGGGCGUCGCUGCUUCUAUCAUGCCUGGCGGCAGGACUGCCCACUCGAGAUUCAAAAUCCCAUUGAGUUGUGAUGAUGGAGCCUCGUGCAGCUUCACCAAGCAGAGUGGGACCGCCAAGCUGCUAAGGAUGGCCUCAUUGAUACUAUGGGACGAGGCCAGCAUGACUAAGCGACAAGCGGUUGAGGCAUUAGACAAUAGCAUGCGCGACAUCAUGGGAAUACGCGACCGACCCUUUGGAGGAAAGACUGUUGUUUUUGGCGGGGACUUUAGGCAGGUGCUUCCGGUCGUCAGAAGGGGGUCACGGGGCCAGAUAAUUGAUGCAAGCCUCCGAAGUUCUCAUCUAUGGAAGAGUAUGCGGCAGCUUCAGCUCAUCACCAACAUGAGGGCUCAUAAUGACAAGUGGUUUGCAGAUUACUUGCUCAGGGACGGUAAUGGCACAGAGGAAGCCGAGGAUCAAGGCAACAUACUACUCCCUGAUGAUAUCUGUCUGCCAUCUACAGGCGAGGUUGACGACCUGGAGAAGCUGAUUGACCACGUGUUUCCGAGUCUAGAUGACAACAUGGCAGAUUCGAGUUACAUGACAUCUCGCGCAAUCCUUUCCACCACAAAUGACAACGUCGACAAGAUAAACAUCCGCAUGAUAGAGCGUUUCCACGGAGAUGAAGUAAUCUACCAUAGCUUUGACAGUGCGGAGGAUGACCCAUAUGGCUACUACGCUCCUGAGUUUCUGAACGGAUUGACUCCCAAUGGUCUUCCUUCGCAUGCACUCAAACUAAAGCUGAAUUGCCCGGUGAUACUUCUAAGAAACAUUGAUCCAGCUAAUGGGCUGUGUAACGGGACUAGGCUUGUUGUUCGAGGUUUUGAGAGGAACACCAUUGAUGCAGAAAUCGUGAUUGGACAACACGCUGGUAGGAGGGUCUUCCUUCCUCGAAUACCUCUAUGCCCAUCUAACAACGACAUGUUUCCAUUCAAGUUUAAGAGGAAGCAAUUUCCUAUUAGGCUUAGCUUUGCUAUGACGAUUAACAAGGCUCAAGGGCAGACCAUCCCAAUUGUUGGUGUGUAUCUACCUAAUCCGGUGUUCUCUCAUGGUCAACUCUAUGUUGCUUUGUCUCGAGCCACCGCGAAGAGAAACAUAAAAAUACUCAUUCAGAAGGAGAAGCCAAAGGAGAAGUCCAACAAGCAACAUAACAAUCCGAAGAAGCGUAAAAGACCGACCGUGUCCUUGCUGACCUCAAUGAAGAACAUCGUCUACAAGGAAGUACUUACAGGCUGA